CUCUCUUCUCUCUUCUCUCUUCUCUCUCCUCUCUCCUCUCUCGUCUCUUCUUCUUUCUUUCAAAAACGAGGUGUUCUUCCUGUGAAUAGCGACGCCAUAGCUGACAAAAACACGAGGUCCAUUGAUUAAACAUAUCUCUUCAUUUCUCAAAUGGGUUUAGAUUGAAUUGUCCAGAAUCUACCCAAUCAGGUGGUACACUUUAUCAUGGAAGCUACUUCAAUGUCAACACCUGUGGAGCAACACCCUUUGGAGGACCUCGAAGAGGAUGGGGAUUUUGAGUACACAGCACCUCCUCCACAACAGAAGUGAAUUCUCAUGGGUUUUCUCUCAAAUUGCAGUUAUACUCCAUUGUUCUUUAAUUUCGUUCUCUUAUAUAUAUCUUUCUGUGUGAAUUUGACUCUGACUUCAUAUUUCAAUUUUGUU